rnacentral:rRNA from 1 species
GAUGAACGCUGGCGGCGUGCCUAAUACAUGCAAGUCGAGCGAACAGACGAGGAGCUUGCUCCUCUGACGUUAGCGGCGGACGGGUGAGUAACACGUGGAUAACCUACCUAUAAGACUGGGAUAACUUCGGGAAACCGGAGCUAAUACCGGAUAAUAUAUUGAACCGCAUGGUUCAAUAGUGAAAGACGGUUUUGCUGUCACUUAUAGCUGGAUCCGCGCCGCAUUAGCUAGUUGGUAAGGUAACGGCUUACCAAGGCAACGAUGCGUAGCCGACCUGAGAGGGUGGUCGGCCACACUGGAACGGAGACACGGUCCAGACGCCUACGGGAGGCAGCAGUAGGGAAUCUUCCGCAAUGGGCGAAAGCUUGACGGAGCAACGCCGCGUGAGUGAUGAAGGUCUUCGGAUCGUAAAACUCUGUUAUUAGGGAAGAACAAAUGUGUAAGUAACUAUGCACGUCUUGACGGUACCUAAUCAGAAAGCCACGGCUAACUACGUG